AGAGUUUGAUCCUGGCUCAGAACGAACGCUGGCGGCAGGCUUAACACAUGCAAGUCGAGCGCCCGUAGCAAUACGGGAGCGGCAGACGGGUGAGUAACACGUGGGAACGUACCCUUCGGUUCGGAAUAACUCAGGGAAACUUGCGCUAAUACCGGAUACGCCCGCAAGGGGAAAGAUUUAUCGCCGAGGGAUCGGCCCGC
rnacentral:rRNA from 1 species